CGUUGCCUAUUUCCUUCAAGGAUUUCGGCCUAGUGUGAAAUGGUCGGUGUGGACUCGCUGGGAUUCCAUGUCUAAACUAAUGGGUUAAAGUUUGAAAACAAAGCAUUUUUCUCUUUGAAACAGGUGGUUUAGUUUUUGUUUAAAAUGGGGUUUUUUAUGACAGUCCACCUGUUCUUGUGGCUGUCAUUAUAUGUUGAUGAUUCAUGCUAGGAUUUGCAAUGUAGUCAGGGCCAUCUUCUCCAAGUCAAGUCAAUUUUAUUGUCAC